rnacentral:rRNA from 1 species
UACGUAGGUGGCGAGCGUUAUCCGGAAUUACUGGGUGUAAAGGGCGUGUAGGCGGGGAAGCAAGUCAGAUGUGAAAUUCCGAAGCUCAACUUCGGGGCUGCAUCUGAAACUGCAUCUCUUGAGUACUGGAGAGGAAAGCGGAAUUCCUGGUGUAGCGGUAAAAUGCGUAGAGAUCAGGAGGAACACCGGUGGCGAAGGCGGCUUUCUGGGCUGUAACUGACGCUGAGGCGCGAAAGCGUGGGGAGCGAACAGGAUUAGAUACCCUGGUAGUCCACGCGGUAAACGAUGAAUAUUAGGUGUAGGCCUUUAAGGUCUGUGCCGGAGCAAACGCAAUAAAUAUUCCGCCUGGGGAGUACGGCCGCAAGGUUGAAACUCAAAGGAAUUGACGGGACCCCGCACAAGCAGCGGAGCAUGUUGUUUAAUUCGAAGCAACGCGAAGAACCUUACCAGGUCUUGACAUCCUACAAAUCUGCCAGAGAUGGCGGAGUGCCCUUCGGGGAAUGUAGAGACAGGUGGUGCAUGGUUGUCGUCAGCUCGUGUCGUGAGAUGUUGGGUUAAGUCCCGCAACGAGCGCAACCCUUACAUUUAGUUGCCAGCACGUAAAGGUGGGAACUCUAAAUGGACAGCCGGGGUAACCCGGAGGAAGGUGGGGGCGACGUCAAAUCAUCAUGCUCCUUUCGUCCUGGGCUACAACCGUGCUACAAUGGCCACAACAAAGGGAAGCAAGCCCGUAAGGUGGAGCGAAACCGAGAAAACUGGUCCCAGUUCGGAUUGAGGGCUGCAACUCGCCCUCAUGAAGUUGGAGUUGCUAGUAAUCGCGAGUCAGCAUAUCGCGGUGAAUACGUUCCCGGGGUU